AACCGGGAUUGCCUCAGUAACGGCGAGUGAAGCGGCAAAAGCUCAAAUUUGAAAUCUGGUACCUUCGGUGCCCGAGUUGUAAUUUGGAGAAGGCAACUUUGGGGCUGUUCCUUAUCUAUGUUCCUUGGAACAGGACGUCAUAGAGGGUGAGAAUCCCGUAUGAUGAGGAGUGCAGUUCUAUGUAAAGUGCUUUCGAAGAGUCGAGUUGUUUGGGAAUGCAGCUCAAAGUGGGUGGUAAAUUCCAUCUAAAGCUAAAUAUUGGCGAGAGACCGAUAGCGAACAAGUACAGUGAUGGAAAGAUGAAAAGAACUUUGAAAAGAGAGUGAAAAAGUACGUGAAAUUGUUGAAAGGGAAGGGCAUUUGAUCAGACAUGGUGUUUUGCGCCCUUUACUCCUCGUGGGUGAAGGAAUCUCGCAGCUCACUGGGCCAAUAUCAGUUUUGGCGGUAGGAUAAAACCAUUGGAACGUAGCUUACUUCGGUAAGUAUUAUAGCCUUUGGUAAUACUGCCAGCCGGGACUGAGGUAUGCGCUUUGCCAAGGAUAUUGGCAUAAUGGUUAAAUGCCGCCCGUCUUGAAACACCGACCA
rnacentral:rRNA from 1 species